ensembl:lncRNA
CAAGUCUGUAACCAUGUCAAUAUUCCUCCCUCGCUUUUUACGCCAAAACAUGGCCUCAUCUUGGCUUUCUCAACCUGCGUAACGGUGUUUGCCUAUCGUACGAAAACAGAAGAGCCGUAAUUGCGCAGGAAUGACGAUAUUCCUAAAAUAAGAUACGGAACUUCAGAGAGUAUCCACCUAAGUGGCAACGCGUUUGUUUGAUUCUUUUCUUUCUUCUCGGUUUAUUACCAGUGUAAUCUGACAGGUCAGUACUGCGUUUAUAAAGACUUCCUAUAUCCUAAAGUUUCUCACUGGCACUAAAGGUGGGCGCUAUACUGCGACCAUCUACGGAUCCCGUGGAUAUGGAUCGGGCAGGAGUGUUAUCUUUACGGACAUGUCUUUUGCUCAGACUUCUGGCGACAGCUGCUUUGUGUGCGCCACAGCGCUGCGGGGACUAUUUUCAAGGACUAUGCAAAGCUCACCAGGAGAAGAGACAUCCACCAACCAUCACUGGCACUGCAUGUUCAGCUUCUACAACGCUGUCAGCCCUGUCCGGGAGAU